rnacentral:rRNA from 1 species
UACGAAGGGGGCUAGCGUUGUUCGGAAUUACUGGGCGUAAAGCGCACGUAGGCGGAUACUUAAGUCAGGGGUGAAAUCCCGGGGCUCAACCCCGGAACUGCCUUUGAUACUGGGUAUCUCGAGUCCGGAAGAGGUGAGUGGAAUUCCGAGUGUAGAGGUGAAAUUCGUAGAUAUUCGGAGGAACACCAGUGGCGAAGGCGGCUCACUGGUCCGGUACUGACGCUGAGGUGCGAAAGCAAGGGGAUCAAACAGG